CGACACCUUUAAAUGAUAAUGUAGAACGACACAGACAACACAUCACAACAGAGCCACAACAAGAAACACCUCACCAUUUAAAAAUCUUUUCAUCAGGAUCUUGAGCAACGAGCUACAAAUACUUCCACAGAGCAUAAAGAUACUAAAACAUUAUCUAUAGUCAAACAAGCAGAUUUGUGAAGUCUCAGAAGAUGAAAUUUCCAUCUGCAUUUAAGAGCGAACUGGCUAAACGACUUUUUUAAAAUCUGUUCCAGGAAACCUUUUGUUGAUUCCAUUGGACAUUUUGGCCGAUUUCAAAUUUUCAUGUCCAUGCAGUGAAUCCUGGAAUAUAGGAAUAACAGUCCUCGUCUUCUUUGCACCUGCUUUUCUUGUUUUUGCUUUAACGUUUCUCUGUUUACUUAAAUCUGAAGAAAAGCAAGAAACAGGAAAUGAUCAAGAAGAAAAUAUAGAAAGAGCAAGUGCAUAUGACAUGGAAAUACAUGCGUUAAUGUUUUAAUUAGUUUAUUUCCAUUUUCUAUGUGGAUGAUUCUGUUACUUAUAGAUGGGGAUUAUAUUGCCUGUGGUCAAACAAAGUGGAAAGGACAGUAUACUUAUGAUGACAAACUAAAAAUAAAAUGGUGCAAACCUACUGAAUUGAUGCUUGGAGAAGAAGCUGAACUACAAAACCAGAUUCUCUUGUAUAUCAGACACUCACAGACGGGACGUAACCAGAAGCGGACUGGCCAUCUGGACGUUCUGGACGGUUCAUCAUCUAGAAAAAAAAAAGGCCGACAAAAGGGGGCGCUAAUGCAAUCUACUUUUGCUUAUAAGAAACCGAAACUGACGCGAAGGAGAACGGGCUCGUAAUGACAAACACAAACUUGAAGAGGUGAAGGGGUCGGUCAUACAGAUCAUUGCCGGGCCUGCUUCUAGAGUAUGCCAAAAAGAAGUCCUUACAACACAGACCACAUACUGUUACCGUAUGGCACCAGGUGUAAGUGACUAACAUCUGGAAUAUUACAAACACACACACUUAGUUCAUCUGCUGUUCUCUGCACUGUACUCUGCACUGAAUUCAUACGUGCUGUGGUCUGGCAUAUGUCCAGAAUGGCACUGAGGGAAAACCUUCAAGAGAAGUCUCUUUCUGGAGGAGCUUGAAACAGCUCUGGUGGCUCCCCUUAUGGUGAAUCGACAUUUUGUUGGUUUGAUUCUAAUCAUAAUGUAACAUUAUUGAAAAACUGUUUUUUUUUUUUUUUUUUUUUUUUUCAGUACAAAAAGUAUGAAACUUUGACCAAUAGUAAUUUUUAUUGUUAUAAUUUUGAUUUAAUAAUAUGUAGAUAUCAGUCCAACUGAAAAAACUUGUAAAAAGAUGUCUUUCAAUUAGCCAGAUAGUAAAUGGUGGAGCUCUGCAGCCAUCUACUUGUAAAAAUGAUAUUUUUUUAUUUUUAAAACAGCAUUUUCCAAAAAAAUCUUACACUAAACCAUGUCAAAUGAUCCAUGCUAUCCCCAUGAAUGAAGUUAAAAAUCUGGGUCUUCUAUAAAGGGAAUUUUACACAAAAAGCUGCUUUUGUAUAAAAACCUAUUAAAAAAAUAUUAAUUUAUUAAUUUAUAUGAAUUAAAAAAAUUAUAAUAAAU